rnacentral:rRNA from 1 species
CCUACGGCGGAGCAGCAGUGGGGAAUAUUGGACAAUGGGCGAAAGCCUGAUCCAGCCAUGCCGCGUGUGUGAAGAAGGCCUUCGGGUUGUAAAGCACUUUCAGUGGGGAAGAAAGCCUUGGGGCUAAUACCCUCGAGGAAGGACAUCACCCACAGAAGAAGCACCGGCUAACUCCGUGCCAGCAGCCGCGGUAAUACGGAGGGUGCGAGCGUUAAUCGGAAUUACUGGGCGUAAAGCGCGCGUAGGCGGUCUGAUAAGCCGGUUGUGAAAGCCCCGGGCUCAACCUGGGAACGGCAUCCGGAACUGUCAGGCUAGAGUGCAGGAGAGGAAGGUAGAAUUCCCGGUGUAGCGGUGAAAUGCGUAGAGAUCGGGAGGAAUACCAGUGGCGAAGGCGGUCUUCUGGACUGACACUGACGCUGAGGUGCGAAAGCGUGGGUAGCAAACAGGAUUAGAUACCCCAGUAGUC